UACGUAGGUGGCGAGCGUUGUCCGGAUUUAUUGGGUUUAAAGGGUGCGUAGGCGGCCCUGUAAGUCAGUGCUGAAAUAUCCCGGCUUAACUGGGAGGGUGGCAUUGAUACUGUGGGGCUAGAGUACAGAUGAGGUAGGCGGAAUUGACGGUGUAGCGGUGAAAUGCUUAGGUAUCGUCAAGAACACCUAUAGCGAAGGCAGCUUACUAGGCUGUAACUGACGCUGAGGCACGAAAGUGUGGGGAUCAAACAGG
rnacentral:rRNA from 1 species